AGGGGUGUAAUUUAGUGGUAAAAUUUUGGUCUCCAAAACCAACUUCGGGAGUUCGACUCUCUCCACCCCUGCCA
rnacentral:tRNA from 1 species